UACGGGGAGGGCAAGUGUUAUUCAUUGGAAUUUCGGCGUAAGGGGUACGUAGGCUGUUUUAAAAGUUAAAUAUGAAAUCCCAUAUGAAAUAUGGAAGUGUAUUUAAAACUAUAAACUUUGAGUAUAUAGAGGAUAACAGAAUUUUUAGAGUAAAGGUGAAGUUUUAAGAUACUAAAAGGAACGUUUAGAGGCUAAUGCAGUUAUCUGGGUAAUACUGACGCUAAGGUACGAAAGCGUAGGGAGCAAACAGG
rnacentral:rRNA from 1 species